AGAUAAGUUGGUCGAAGGGUGUUAAGGAAGCCAUGGCAUUGUAAGAAGAGAAAAUCUCUCUCUUGAAACUCUCUCUCCGUUGAAAUCAACAAAGAAAGCCAAAGGCCAACUUUCUGGUUUUGUUGGCAAUGACCAUUUUUCACAGAAUUCUUCUCUUCUCCAUUUUUAUCCAAAUCUUGCGCAUCUUUUAUGAAAUCUUGUGAAUGCUCUAGCUUGAUACAAAAAAUCCAACAUCUUCCAGUAGCACUAGGCGAGAGAGGGAUGGAGGUGUAGUUUCAGUUUGGUCUCCUUCAACUCAAGUUCUAGCUACUCAUAGAAGUUUGGCAGUGAAGACAAUAACAUUGGAACAAGUUCGUACUUGCAGAGACAUCCUCAGUCUCACCAAACAAUGAAUUGGAGACGGCUAUCUCAAAGUGAAACAUAUAGAUGCAAGUAGGAAAACGAAAACAGUGAUGUGAGGCGUAAUGAUGCACGCAGCACACUAUCUAAUGCAGCCGGGUAGGGAACUCGCCGUCCACAUUGAACUUCUGACCCUUUCGCCGCCACGAGUGCCCUCAACAUCAGUAGAUCUGUGAAUGAUAUUUUCUAAUUAAUGCAGGCAACUUAUUAGCUAUCUUUGGUUUUUUUGGUGUAAAGCAUUGUUGUAUUUAUAAAGGAAGAGAGUGAAAUAAGAUAUGUAGUCAUUGAACAAGCUCAGGGUUUUUUCUCUCAUUCUAUUGGUAACAGAUGCUUGUAACAUAUUCUAUAUAUCCACAUUUACCUCUUCUUAGACCA